rnacentral:lncRNA from 1 species
CUGCCUCGGCCUCCCAAAGUGCUGGGAUUAGAGGUGUGAGCCACUAUGCUUUAUUUUCUUUAUAACUUACUAUCUUUUUAGGAUUUUGUAACCUAUGUACGCUACCAUGCUAUCCCAUGUCUGUUCACUUUUUUAAAAAACCUUUUUGAGUAUAAAUGAUGACAGGUGCUUCCACCUAUGUUAUUUUGUUUAAUCUUCAGGUAAUCCUGUUUGAUAGGCAAUGCUUCUCUUUUUCAUAGGUGAGGAAACUAAAUGAGACUUUUCCAGGAGUUACUGUUGUAAACUGCAGAACCUGAAUUUAAAUGCCAGUCAAAUCCAUGGAUGUUAUAAGUAUGGCCUCUCUGUAUAGGAAAUUCCUCUUCGUUUUAUCAUCUAGCAAACAGGUACUGGUGCCAGGGCAUUACGCUGGGUACAAGAUAUGCGGUGAUGAGCAGAAAAGAUGCUGUCUGUGCUCACAUGGAGCUUCCGGUCUUUAACAAUCAGUCAGAACUGUGUCAUUCCAGAUGUGCCUUUCAUGGAAGUUGCCAUGGUUCUGCAUCCCUAAACCAAUGAGACACAAUGGCAAGUUUCUCUUCCUACAUCUAUUUCAACCACCAGCUUAACUCCCCUUCCUGAGUGCAGCUAAAGCUGUGGCCAUCAGGCAGGUGAAGCUUGGUGCCUCCUGUUCAACCAACAGGAAUGACUGAAGCAGGCUGGGGGUGGGACCAGCAGUAAGAAGCCCAGAGCAAUGACCAGAGCUCCCUUUCUCUGGAGAGCUGGGCUGGAGAAAAUCUAUGCACUGCUGAUCUCCUAAGGAGAGAGCUUCAAGGGUGAAAAGAUGGUGUCCCACAGGCCUGAGGCUGCACAGAUCUAGCUUUUGCCAUUGAGGACAGCAGGGACAGUAAAGCUUCCCAGAUCCCCUUUCAACCUGCCAGCUGGCAUGUCACCUACCAUAGAGGAAGCCAAUCCUAGACCUUGUACUACUUGAGAGAUUGCAAAAGUAUCCUGUUAGCUGGGUCUGGACCCCAAUGAUAAAUAGACUCAUGAGUGAGCUAAGGAAGGGAACUGGCCCAUCUAAAAGGAACCGGCCCAAGGAAAAGCAGGAAUCUAUGAAGGCAUUCAAUAACUUGGACCAAAAAGGAACAAGAAGGUAAAAUUGAAUACUUGGGUGAUGGUUACACUAAAAACCUAGAUUUCCCCACUACAAGAUAUAUCCAUGUAACAAAACUGCACUU